GACGAACCUUGCUAACGUUAUUCGGAAUGACUGGGCGUAAAGGGCGCGUAGGCGGCUCGUGAAGUCGGGUGUGAAAGCCCGGGGCUCAACCCCGGAACGGCAUCCGAUACUGGCGGGCUUGAGACCGGGAGAGGAGGGUGGAAUACCCAGUGUAGAGGUGAAAUUCGUAGAUAUUGGGUGGAACACCGGUGGCGAAAGCGGCUCUCUGGCCCGGAUCUGACGCUGAGGCGCGAAAGCGUGGGGAGCAAACAGG
rnacentral:rRNA from 1 species